rnacentral:rRNA from 1 species
GUCGAGCGGACAGAUGGGAGCUUGCUCCCUGAUGUUAGCGGCGGACGGGUGAGUAACACGUGGGUAACCUGCCUGUAAGACUGGGAUAACUCCGGGAAACCGGGGCUAAUACCGGAUGCUUGUUUGAACCGCAUGGUUCAAACAUAAAAGGUGGCUUCGGCUACCACUUACAGAUGGACCCGCGGCGCAUUAGCUAGUUGGUGAGGUAAUGGCUCACCAAGGCAACGAUGCGUAGCCGACCUGAGAGGGUGAUCGGCCACACUGGGACUGAGACACGGCCCAGACUCCUACGGGAGGCAGCAGUAGGGAAUCUUCCGCAAUGGACGAAAGUCUGACGGAGCAACGCCGCGUGAGUGAUGAAGGUUUUCGGAUCGUAAAGCUCUGUUGUUAGGGAAGAACAAGUACCGUUCGAAUAGGGCGGUACCUUGACGGUACCUAACCAGAAAGCCACGGCUAACUACGUGCCAGCAGCCGCGGUAAUACGUAGGUGGCAAGCGUUGUCCGGAAUUAUUGGGCGUAAAGGGCUCGCAGGCGGUUUCUUAAGUCUGAUGUGAAAGCCCCCGGCUCAACCGGGGAGGGUCAUUGGAAACUGGGGAACUUGAGUGCAGAAGAGGAGAGUGGAAUUCCACGU